UUUUUUUUUUUUUUUUUUUGGCAAUUGGAUAAAUAUCUGGAAAUUUUGUAAAAAGGUAAAGAUUUGCACCAGAAAAUUCACCAGAGAAACCCAGCCUUUCCGUGAUGUCCAAGGAGCUUGUUUCCUUUCUGAUAAUGGCUCCUGCCUGCCUCCUCCACUCACGGCUGUGGCUCUGGCAGGGAGGCGGGUGUGCAUGGGUUCCCCUGUGUGCCUGUUUUAAUACUGGUUCUUCCUUUCUGGCACAGUUGCCUCCACUCCUGUCUCUGUGUGUUGUUGGUUGCCACUCCUCUUCUGUCCCCAGCCCUUCCACUUAACACUAAGCCUUCUCCCAGAACACAUGGUCCCCUUUCAUGGCCUCUGGACCUGUCCUUACGUGAGUGAUGAGGGGAUCUUUCCACCAAUUCCCUGCAUAUUCCACAAAUUUAUUGAUUGGGUUUGAGAUAACAUUCUUCCCAAUCCCUCGCUUUAAAAAUUAUCUUAGUUAGGGCCAACUUGAAAUAUUGAGGGUAAAUGCGUGGACUUAUCUCUCAAAUUCUCACAUUGGCUGUGGCUCAUUAGACUCUUAUAAUGCUUCCCUCUGCCAUGGGCUCAUUGAGGUUGCAAUUCAGAGAGCACUCCCCCACUGCUGACUUGAGCUGAGAUGCUGUUCAGGGAAUUGGGGGCAUAUGUCCUUAGCAAGGACAGCUUCACUAACCCUUUGAAGCCUCACUGCAGGGAGCUGAGCUGCCCUCAACUGUUCUUCCAACUGUUCUCCCCCAAAAUGCCAAGAUCAACACCCAGAAACUUGCUGAAGCCCUUCAGAGUCUGGGAGGGAGUUGGGGCUGCUGGAGGUCGGGUGGGCUGGGGGGGGGUGAGGAGCUCCCAGCCACCGGGUCUGCAGAUACUCCCAGAGUACUGUCUGUAGUGUCCAGGGUAGAUAUCCUAUUGGAAUAGUUGAUUUGAGAUUGGGUAUAGAACUAUUUUAAGUGGAUCAGCUUGAAAAUUAAUCAUGCUUUGCCUUAUGUUUAUUGCUAAGUCAGUUUGUAGAAUUUCAAAUGAAAAUUUCCCAGCCCGAGGACUACACCACAGCACCGUUGAUCAUUUGGCAUAUUUCAACUUCUCUCAGCUCCUGAGCCAAAUGAAGUAACUUUCAUUUGCAAUCCCAUUUGUAAGUCUAAUUUUAAUAUUGUGUUUAUUCAUAUUAAGGACAGAAUUUCUUUUUUUAAAUAACCCUACCCCCCGCCCGCCCCCCCCAAAAAAAAACCCAACCCGCAGUGAGUACUACGUUGGCAUCAUCACAAGUGAUUUAAUGAAU